UACAGAGGGUGCAAGCGUUGUUCGGAAUUAUUGGGCGUAAAGCGCGUGUAGGCGGCUUUGCAAGUCGGAUGUGAAAGCCCUUGGCUCAACUGAGGAAGUGCAUCCGAAACUGGCAGGCUAGAGUACUAAAGAGGGUCGCGGAAUUCCCGGUGUAGAGGUGAAAUUCGUAGAUAUCGGGAGGAACACCGGUGGCGAAGGCGGCGACCUGGGUAGAUACUGACGCUGAGGUGCGAAAGCGUGGGGAGCAACAGG
rnacentral:rRNA from 1 species